rnacentral:rRNA from 1 species
CCUACGGGAGGCAGCAGUGGGGAAUAUUGCACAAUGGGGGAAACCCUGAUGCAGCGACGCCGCGUGAGUGAAGAAGUUAUUCGUUAUGUAAAGCUCUAUCAGCAGGGAAGAAAAUGACGGUACCUGAGUAAGAAGCCCCGGCUAACUACGUGCCAGCAGCCGCGGUAAUACGUAGGGGGCAAGCGUUAUCCGGAUUUACUGGGCGUAAAGGGAGCGUAGACGGGAGUGCAAGUCUGGAGUGAAAGGCGGGGGCUGAACCCCGGGACUGCCUUGGAAACUGUACGGCUGGAGUGCGGGAGAGGUAAGUGGAAUUCGUGGUGUAGCGGUGAAAUGCGUAGAUAUUAGGAGGAACACCAGUGGCGAAGGCGGCUUACUGGACUGUAACUGACGUUGAGGCGCGAAAGCGUGGGGAGCAAACAGGAUUAGAUACCCCAGUAGUC